rnacentral:lncRNA from 1 species
UUGAUUUUUUAUUUUUCAAAUAUUAGUUUUGCGGACGAAAGGGGUUCUUGGUCCAUUGUUUUAGUUGUUUAACUCCUGCUAUGAGGUCAGCAUUUCAAGCGUCGCUGACAUCUCUUUUAUGCAGUUAAACUGAACAAAAGACUCAAAAAGUUAAAGCACAUCAUACACCAAGGAUCAAACACUCGACCUCUCUAAGAGGAUAGACGGU